UCCCGCGCGCGCGCGCGCGCGAGGGAAUCGUCUUUUUUUCUCUUCAACUUUUUUUCACUUUUUUCGCGUAGAAAAAGGUCUAUGGAGGGUCUGACGCUAUAAAUUAAAACGUAUCCGCGCUGGCGAGAUAGCCGUGGAAAGGACACUCCGUCGAUAAAAUUAUAAUUUUAUUGCACGGUGGGUGCUAUUUUUAUCGGCGACGUAUGUAGGUACGCUAUCGGGUAUAUCGCUUUCUGAAAAGAAACACGCAUUCACGAACGAUAUAUUCUUUUUCCCUUCGCGUCUGGGUCGCGCGCGUUCGUUCGUUAACGAUUAAAAUUUCCAGCGCCUUCAUGAAGUCUCGCCGUGAAGUCGGAUAAGAUACGUCCGUAUAUUUACAAAGGUGCCUUUCGUCCGAGCAUUUCUUCUUUUCUUUUUCUUUUUUAUUGUUGCUUUUUUCUCUUUUCGUUUUUCGUUUUUUCUGUUUAUCUUAACAUUUUUUUUUACUCUCCCUCACUUUUGGAACGUCCUCUUGGAUUUUUUAUGUCACGGCCUUGGAAGAUUCGAAAAACACGGACGAGCCCGUGAUCGAUAAUAAACUUUUAAAGGAUUGCACAAGAUCUCGGGAGUUUAUUCUCUCCGAACAAAUCCGUCUUUAGCCGAAAAUAUUUGAAGCGAUCAUCGUCCGAGUUAUUAAGAAAAACGGGCGUCCACCGAGCUGCUCUCUCAUGAGAUCCGAUCGCUCCUGUGUACUUUCAUCCGUAACCCAAUUCUUUCUUUCGCUUUGACUCGGUUCAACGGCUCUUGAAAUGGUCUUGAAUCGAUCUCUCAUCCUCUAAUCGCGCAUUCCUAACCGUUACGCGCGGCUACUAUCGAAUUCAAGGGAAAGUUUCGUUGCGUACGAAACACGAGCGAUUUCAAACGGCCAUUGCCGUUAGGAACUAACCGAAGGAAGCUUCGUGCCGAUCGAUCGGGAAAACUGAACGUGGAAUAAAAGACAAAAGAAGAGGAAGAUGCGAUUGGUCAAAGUUCAAAACUAUACUUGGAAGAAAGCUUUCGCUGAGAGUACCAACGACGUCCAGUUCUCACCCUGACAGGAGAUUUCGGGUAAGGAGUUGGUUGUUGGCCACGUAUUUACGUAUGACUAUUCUAUACAGGUAGAAGUGUUUGAGGACAGGUGAGAGAAAAGGAGAAGUGUCUGCGAACUGGACGACCCACGGGGCAGAGAGAGAGAGAGAGAGAGAGAGAGCUAGAUCGCCAUCGUUUAGGAAUAAAGGAUGAAAGAUAAGGGCAGUUCGAGGAAAAAGGGAGAAAGAGGAAGAGGAGCUGGCCCGUAAGAAACAACGAAAGGGAGAGAGAGAGGGAGCCGCGCGAAACUGACCAAUAGAUCCGGUUUAGCCAGUUUCCGGAUUCCGUGGGUCAUUGGGAUCGAGCUUUCCCCUUUCUCAAGCGGUACCAUCCUCCGCUCUAUCGCACGGGUUGUCCUCCCUCGUGGAAAGGUCCGCUAGCGCAACCCCUUUUCUCUCUCUCUCUCUCACUCUCGCUCGCUCGCUCGUCCACUAGUCGCGUUGUCCAUCCGCAUACAUUAACUGUCCAUCCUGCGAAGAAAUCCGGUUUUGUGACAAUAAGCGAUGAUAGGGGCUGGACAGGGAACCCUUGGAAUCGUCAUAGUUACGACGUUUCCUUUGGGGAUGACCAUCACCUAUCCGACGUCGUUACUUCUUCCUACGGUGGGAACGAAAACCUGAUCGCGGGAGUCUUUCUAAAACUUUGAAGAGCGUUCCCAACGAGAGAAUCGUUUCGAGUAACGACAUGGACGCGUACGUUGCGAAGCAGAAGAGGAGCAGAACCAAAGCUCCGUUCUUUCGACGGAGGGUGCCGUGCAAAGGGGGGAAAAAUAUAUAUAUACAUAUAUAUAUACAUAUAUGUGUGUGUGUGUAUGUAUAAAAAAAAGAUGAAAAAGAAAAAAAAGCGGAUCGACCGGACAGUGGCCACGAGCGAGUCUCCGUCUUCUUUCAUUUUUGGAAGGAGGAACAAGUUCUCCUAAUUCGAACCGGUACGAACGUGCAACGUCUCGUUUCGCGCGGAAACGAGAUUGGAAAAAUCCAAAGGGGAAUCUUAGAGAAAAGACUUUUGGAAGGGAAAAGAGACGGAAGGAAGAAUAAAUAAAUGCGUGGACCGUUGCUAUCCGAGGACUUUGUGCGUCGUUGAACGCGAACGACGGUUACGGAGGAUCGUUAACCGUCUUGCUUUUAACGUCUCUACUUAUUUGCUCGUCCAGCUGGCGUAGACAUUACUAGAAGAGACUUUGAGGACGACUACACGCUGGAUUCGUCGAGCACUAUCAGAACGUUGAAACGUACACGCGAUCGUUGGAUGCCCGCACGAAGUCGAUACGGACAGGAUGCCGCCGUCCAUCGUCCGAGGAACAGGAGAAAGGGAAGAAAUGAAGGGAGGAGAUCGAAG